UGGGGAAUAUUGGACAAUGGGCGAAAGCCUGAUCCAGCCAUGCCGCGUGAGUGAUGAAGGCCCUAGGGUUGUAAAGCUCUUUUGUGCGGGAAGAUAAUGACGGUACCGCAAGAAUAAGCCCCGGCUAACUUCGUGCCAGCAGCCGCGGUAAUACGAAGGGGGCUAGCGUUGCUCGGAAUCACUGGGCGUAAAGGGUGCGUAGGCGGGUUUCUAAGUCAGAUGUGAAAGCCUGGAGCUCAACUCCAGAACUGCCUUUUAUACUGGAAGUCUUGAGUUCGGGAGAGGUGAGUGUAACUGCGCGUGUAGAGGUGAAAUUCGUAGAUAUUCGCAAGAACACCAGUGGUGAAGGCGGCUCACUGGCCCGAUACUGACGCUGAGGCACGAAAGCGUGGGGAGCAAACA
rnacentral:rRNA from 1 species